UGAACGCUGGCGGCGUGCCUAAUACAUGCAAGUCGAACGGGGAGUAGCAAUACUCUUAGUGGCGAACGGGUGAGUAACGCGUUGGUACCUGCCCCGAAGCGGGGGAUAACGGACCGAAAGGUCCGCUAAUACCCCAUGUGCUCGGUAACGAGUAAAGGUGAAAACCACUUUGGGAGGGGCCUGCGUCCCAUCAGCUAGUUGGUAAGGUAACGGCUUACCAAGGCGAUGACGGGUAGGGGACCUGAGAGGGUGGCCCCCCACAAUGGAACUGAAACACGGUCCAUACACCUACGGGUGGCAGCAGUAGGGAAUAUUGGUAAUGGGCGCAAGCCUGAACCAGCAACGCCGCGUGUGCGAUGACGGCCUUCGGGUUGUAAAGCACUUUUGACUGGGACGAGGAAGGACGGUACCGGUCGAAUCAGCCUCGGCUAACUACGUG
rnacentral:rRNA from 1 species